rnacentral:rRNA from 1 species
CUGCUGCCUUCCGUAGGAGUUUGGGCCGUGUCUCAGUCCCAACGUGGCCGUUCACCCUCUCAGGCCGGCUACUGAUCGUCGCCUUGGUGGGCCGUUACCCCUCCAACCAGCUAAUCAGACGCGGGUCCAUCCUGUACCACCGGAGUUUUUCACACUGUACCAUGCGGUACUGUGCGCUUAUGCGGUUUUAGCACCUAUUUCUAAGUGUUAUCCCCCUGUACAGGGCAGGUUACCCACGCGUUACUCACCCGUCCGCCACUAAGAUAAACAGG